ACUGGUUUCACAUGGUGAAGUAGAUACAGCGACAUCUUGUCUAGCACCAUAUGAAAUCAGUGU
rnacentral:pre_miRNA from 1 species